UGGGCCGUCGGCCUUUUGGCUAAGAUCAUGAGUAGUAUCUAUUCUUAUAAGUUUAAUAUCUUAUAUGUGGGCUAUGCCCGCACAAUAUUAAUUCAAUUUUUUUAAGGGGAGCAUCCAUCAAGGUAGCUUGCUACCUGGGCUCUUGUGUGUUGCUCAAUAGGUAAACAACUUAAGUGGUGACACUCAUAAG